AGAGUUUGAUCCUGGCUCAGAGUGAACGCUGGCGGCGUGGAUUAGGCAUGCAAGUCGAGCGAUCUUACUUUAGAAAUUUCUUAAGCUGCUUGCAGUUUGAAAAAUUUUUAUAUCGAGAUAGCGGCAAACGGGUGAGUAAUACAUGAGCAACUUUCCCUUAAGACAGAGAUAGCUUCGUGAAAACGGAGGUAAUAUUUGAUAAUAUCAUUUAGCUGCAUAGCUUUUUGAUUAAAGGCGGGGAUCUUCGGAUCUGCCACUUAAGGAUGGGCUCGUGUCCUAUCAGCUUGUUGGUGAGGUAAUGGCUCACCAAGGCGUAUGACGGGUAGCUGGUCUGAGAGGAUGGUCAGCCACACUGGGACUGAGGCACUGCCCAGACUCCUACGGGAGGCUGCAGUCGAGAAUAUUUAGCAAUGGGCGAAAGCCUGACUAUGCGACGCCGCGUGCGGGAUGAAGGUUUUCGGAUCGUAAACCGCUUUUGUUAGGAAAGAAUAUCCUACUCAUUAAUAAGGGGUAGGACUGACGGUACCUAACGAAUAAGCCACGGCCAACUCCGUGCCAGCAGCCGCGGUAAUACGGAGGUGGCAAGCGUUACUCGGAAUCAUUGGGUGUAAAGGGCAAGUAGGCGGCUUGAUAAGUGAGGGGUGAAAUCUUCCGACUUAAUCGGAAAACUGCCCUUCAAACUGUCUGGCUUGAGGCACAAAGGGGGAAACGGAAUUCUUGGUGUAAGGGUGAAAUCUGUAGAUAUCAAGAAGAACACCUGCGGCGAAGGCGGUUUCCUGGUUGUGUCCUGACGCUGAAUUGCGAAAGCUAGGGUAGCAAACAGAAUUAGAUACUCUGGUAGUCCUAGCUGUAAACGAUGAGCACUAGGUGUUGGACCUUUAAAGUUCAGUGCCGCAGCUAACGCAUUAAGUGCUCCACCUGGGGACUACGGUCGCAAGGCUAAAACUCAAAGGAAUUGACGGGGGCCCGCACAAGCGGUGGAACAUGUGGUUUAAUUCGAUGAUACGCGAAAAACCUCACCAGGGCUUGACAUAUAAGAAGUAGUGAACCGAAAGGGGAACGAGCCGUUAAGUCCGGCAACUUAUACAGGUGCUGCAUGGCUGUCGUCAGCUCGUGUCGUGAGAUGUUGGGUUGAGUCCCGCAACGAGCGCAACCAUUUCCCAAUGUUGCUAAUAUAUUUAAGUCUUCGGACAAGGGUAUAUGCACUCUUAGGGUACUGCCUGGGAUAACCAGGAGGAAGGUGGAGAUGACGUCAAGUCAGUACGGCCCUUAUGCCCUGGGCUACACACGUGUUACAAUGGCUGAUACAAAGGGUUGCCAACCCGCGAGGGGGAGCUAAUCUCUAAAAGUCAGCCUCAGUUCAGAUUGGAGUCUGCAAUCCAACUCCAUGAAGCC
rnacentral:rRNA from 1 species